rnacentral:lncRNA from 1 species
GUCAGACCUGGCUCCUCGGCCCCAGCUUUGCUGGAAGCCAAAUGAUGGCAAAGGUGUGUUGGAUUGUUGAUACUGUGUCAAAGAAGGUGGCAUCCAGCAGUUGUCAGAAUGGCCCAGGAUGAGACAUUCCUGUGUGCAGGUUUCAGAGGCCUCAGCCAGGGCUUUCUGGAGAUUUACUUCGAUAGUGGACUCGGGGUCUGAGUUUCCAUCUCCUUCUGUCCGGCUGUUGGGCGACGCUUGCUCGUAGUACUCCUCCUGCGGGAAGCCGAGGGGCAGUGGGUGCGAUGUGCUGGCACCACUGCUGGGCUCGUGGUCUCCAAGUCCACUGUCACUGCAGCUUUCCUGGGACCCAUCUGGUAGGUGAAACGUGACACGGCGCUGAGGCUGUGGCUGAGUCCAUGGCUCCAGUGUUGAUUCUUUUAAAGGAGUUUGUGGCCUUCCCAUUUCUUUUGUGUGCUGUCUGGUGUGAAUGGGGCCUGGGGUCUUGAAGCCUCCUUGACAACUGCAUUCAGAAACACUGUAAGGGUCCGAGCUGCUUGAUGAGCACUUGGAGAGUGAGUCACAGCCCACCACAAAGGUGUUAUCCAGAGGCAGUUCCUGAAUGACAUGGUGUUUCUUGGGGGGUACAGGAGUCUCAGGUUUAAUUUGGAAGGUUGGCUGUGGAGAAGCAGACUUGUAGUGCUUCGCUAAAUCUGGGCUAUCGGGCUUAAAUGUGGUUGGUGUAGUGGCCCAGUUAUAUUUUCCCAUAGUCUGUUCUUCUAGUUCUACAGGAAUGUCUAAAGUGCCAUUUAUGUGCUCAUGGCCAGGAUCAUCAGGCUUAGAUUCUUCAAUAGUCACAAAGUUGAGGAGAAGACUUUUUGGAGAGCGUUUCUUCUUCUUCUUCUUCUUCUUGAUCUGCCUGUUCUCUUGGUUUGGAGAAACCCACUCACCACUCUGCUUAUUUUUCUGAACAACUUUGUGCCUGGGAGUCUGGCGGCACCGUACUAAAGCAGUAACAAAAAUUACCAGAAUAACUGUCAUUGUGCCUGCAAUAAUUGCAAUUAUGAUCUUGACAUAAUCAUUGGUUUGUGGGGUUAUCUCACCAUCCCCAAUGUUCUGGCCAACUGGAGUUUCCAUAUUCCUGCGCACUAGCUCUUGUAUGUAGGAACUAUUGGUGACUGUCUCAUUCACAAAUAAAUGCACAAGAGCUAUAGUAUAAAGAGACUCUGGCUGUCCUAGGUCAUUGACUUUUAUCACCAGUCUGUGCAAGCCAUGGUCUGAUGUAAUGACCUUCUCUUUCAAUGUAAUAUUGCCUGUUAAUUGGUCAAUUGCAAACAAGCCCCUAGAAUUCCCUCCUAUAAUGCUGUAACGGAGCUCUGCAUUCAUUCCUGUGUCAUUAUCAACUGCAAAGACUUUAGUAACAACAGACCCUGGACUGGAUGAUGUUGGAACCAACUCAUAUGAAUAAUUUGAUGAAGGAAUAACAAAAACAGGCCUGUUGUCAUUUACAUCAACAACAUUGAUCGUCACUUUGGCCGUUGAGGAACGCUGCAGUCUUCCUCCAUCCACCGC